rnacentral:lncRNA from 1 species
GGGCUUUGAGAAAUCUAAAAGUCAUUUGGUUGGUCACUUGUGGCUUUUGGAAAAAAAACUGAACGGAUCCCAAAAGUCAGUGAAAGCAGGGGGUGAGGUACUUUUAGAUUUGUACUACGAGAAAAGCUGCUUUUAGGCAAAAGCACUUGUGGCUUUUGGGUCCUUUGGUUGGCUUUUGGCUUUUACAAAAGCAAAAGCAGGUUCAAAAGCCCAACAAGGGACGCUUAGAGUGGCUACCGGCUGCAGGGGGACGGACACCAUGGCAGAGACGGAGCUGCAUGCGGGUGGUGGGUGGGCUGGCCUGCUUUAGGCCCUGUUUAGUUUCCCACCCAAAAUUUUUUCAUCCAUCCCAUCGAAUCUUUGGACACAUACAUAGAACAUUAAAUGUAGAUAAAAAAUAAACUAAUUACACAGUUAAGUUGAGAAUCGCGAGACGAAUCUUUUAAGCCUAGUUACUCCACAAUUAGCCUUAAAUGCUACAGUAACCCACAUGUGCUAAUGACAGAUUAAUUAUACUUAAUAGAUUUGUCUUGCAGUUUCCUGACGAGCUAUGUAAUUUGUUUUUUUUAUUAGUUUCUAAAAACCCCUUCCGACAUCCUUCCGACACAUCCGAUGUGACAUCCAAAAAAUUUUCAUCUCCAAUCUAAACAGGCCCUUACGUGUGCCCUGCCUGUAAAAGCAGAUCCUCCCCCACCACCAAAGCAGCUUGAAUUAAUAAUAAUGCAUCUUUAGGUUUCUGUUAGAAUAAUGCAUGCAUUUUGUUGAACUCUCAAUUGCUUGUGAAUUUGGUUGAAACAGGAACUAUUGGGUAUGGGUCGGCCCGUCGCAGAGCGGAGUUGCACGUGCAGGCGCAGCACGUAGUGUGACUGGUCGCUAAAUAGAGAUUGCGUAUUUUUCUUUUUGUGGUCGAAAUUAACAAAGUUGGACUGGGCCUGGGGCAAUAAUGGUAGGUUAGAUGGGCCUAAGCUCCUGUUGACAAACCAACCAGGUGGCACGCAGUGGCACUCCGACUAGUAAAUUUUGUAGCGCCGGCUCACGAUUCCGUCCGGCGGCCCGGCCCACAUAGCGGGUUGCCGCCCCCGCCUCCCGCUCCCGCGUCGCUCCCUCCGAUUCUCCCGCGCGUUCUCUCUCCAAUACCGUGAAUCCUAACGUGAUUGCCACAAAAGAAAAAAAAAUAGCACAAAGAAUAAUAAUAGAAAAAAAUGGUGCACAAAAGAGUUUGAACAAAAGAUCAGUGACUUAAGAAAUAAUUCCAACACCACUAUACCAUGUAGAUGAUUGAUUUUUAAUUAUAAAUAUUUAUAAUAUGUCCACAAAAUUCUUUGCUAAGUCGGUCCAGCCGGUAACGCGCUUAUUGUGCGUUGGUUGUAUUGUAAACUCUUUUUUUCUUAAUAUAAUAUAUAAUAAUACGCAGAUCUCCUGCGUAUUCAGCAAAAAAAAUAUUUAUAAUAUUAUAAAAUGUAUCAGACUAUAUAAGUAAAAAAAUCCACAUACACAAGAAUAAUAUUCUAGACAGAAAUAUAUACCAUGAAAUAUAAAAAGCUACAUAAUAAAAUAAAAUUAAAAAGGACGAAUAAAAAAGAUAGUGACACAAAAUAAUAGAUGAAAAUAAGAAAAGUAACCUAAAAUACAUAAAAAAAUAUUACAUAAAUACUAAUUAAACAACGUAAAAUAUAUCAUAAAAUAUCUCACAGGUAUCAUGUGAAUAAUCAAAGAUAAUCAUUACAUGUCCUAUUUAUACUACGUGAACCUCCCAAAAAUAACAUAAAUAGAAAAAAUAAUAAAAACAUAGAUUAAAUCAUAAGAGAAAAUAAAAAUUCCACAUAAUAAAUGAAAAUUAGAUAGAAUAUUAUAUGGGAUAUUAUGUGAACCUCUUUGGUCUUCGGCACUACUUUAGCACUAUUUUUUAGCGAACGAAUAUUAUUUUUUUAUAACAAAUCAGCAUAAGCAAAAACAUAAACUAAAUUUCAGCUAAUAUUAACAUUACAAAAUACCAUCUCAUGUGUACCAUAGUAAUCGUGAAAAUAUCCCAUACAUAACAUGUGAUGCAUACAACGUGAAUAUCAUAUAUCAUUACAAAAUACGACAUAAAACAUCACGUGUACACUACAUAGAUAUCACAAAAAACAUAGUAAAACAUCACAUGUAUAAUAUGUGAAUAUCAUAUUAUAGAACAUCAUGCGUACUGUAUGAACGUCACAAAAAAAUAUCAUAAAACAUCACAUGCAUACUAUGUGAACAUUGCAUGUAUAUUGUGUCAAAGUAAAUCAAAGAACAUCUCAUGCAUACUAUCUGGGUAUAACAAAAUAAAACAUAAAAUAUCAUAUCAUAGAACGUCACAUGUAUAUUACGUGAACAUCACAUUAUCUAAAAAUAAAAAGAGUGAAAAUAAAAUAAAAAUCAAGUAACUAAAUAGAGUAAAAAAACAAAAAAAUAGAAAUAAAAACAUAAAUAACAAAUGCUAAAUAUAUAGAAAAAUAAAUAAAUAACUUAAAUAAGAAAAAAAAUAAAAUAUCACAUGUAUAUUGCGCAAAUAUGACAUAUAUCUGAUGUAACAUAUGAAAUGAAAAAAUAAAAUAAUUAAACAUCAAAAUCAUUAAAACAAAAAAUUGGAGUAAAAUAAAAAUAGAAAACAAAAUCAAAAUUAAAAAAAGAUAAAAUACAAAAGGAAAGAAAAAAAUAAAAGUUAAUAAAAGAGAAAAGAGAAGUAAAUAAAAUAAAAACAUGAAAACAGAAAAUGAAAUAAUAAGUUAAUAAACUAAGAAAAAAGAAAAAAUGAAUAAAAUAUAGAUAAAAGUAAAAAAAAGGAAAAGAAGAAUAAAAGGCCACAUAAUAAAAGAUAAAAUACAAAAGGAAAGAAAAAAUUCACAAUGAAAAUAAAAAAAUAAAAGAAGAAUAAAACAAAAAUAUACAAGGAAAAGGAAAAGGGGAAAGGAAAAAAAUGAAAAAAAAAAGAGAAACUCACCUACCGAAGUCCCUACAACAUCAACGAAACAAAAAAAAGGCGACAAAGUGUGGAUCAUGCGCUCUGCGUGUGUCGCGGUCUGUGGUGGUCUUAUUGGCGCAUACCACGGUGGGGUCUUCAACCCGGGUGAAGUCGUAGCCAUAGGGGAGCCUUCGCGAUGGAAAUGCCCUCGCUUACUUGACUAAACUAAGGACCUAAAAGUCUAAGUUUAAGUUUAGUUUUGGUAAUUAAUGGCACCAAGUUGCUAAUGCCUUGUGACUAAGUAAUCUGAGUUAGGCAUAGUAAUACAUGUGAUGAAGGUGCAAUGUGGUAUAAAAAGGUGGCCACAUGAUUACAAAGAGAUGAAGCAUGAAGUGGAGAUCAUGAUGAUAAACAAGGAGUAAAGUGAUCACAUAGGGUUUUGCGUUUGCCGGUCUAAGUUGAGUAGAGAAGUGAUUGACCGGAUUUAAGAUAGAUAGUCGACUAUCUAGAGGGGAAAUCACGGUCAUCUCUCAAAUCAAGUGCUACUAUGUCUAUAUCUUGAGCAUCAGUGGCGGAUCUAGGGGUAUUCCUCGGUAUUCCCGGGAAUACCCAACUAUUUUGGUACACUUUUAUGUAAAUAUGUGUAUAUACUUAUAUAUAUAAAUAUAUAAUGCUAUAAUAUAUAGUAUUUUGCACAUUUAAACUCAAAACAUGUAAAAAACUAGCAUUUCCAUUAGAAGUCUAUAUUCUAGAAAGCAAAUAUUAGUUUAAAGUUGCUAACUUGCAGUACAAUUGACUAUAUUUUCAACCUAUAGAUUAACUUUGUGAGAGUAGGAAUACUCAAGUUUAAAAUUCUGGCUCCGCCACUGUUGAGCAUAUGCAUUAGGAUCUAGUAAAGUGCUAACCUAACUCCUUUGACAAAAUGUUUGUGAAAUGCUAACACACAUGCACAAUGGUGGUGGUCACUUGGUGGAGUUAGCACAUUUGCAAAGGAGGUGGAGUUCCUAGGGUAGAGAGGAGUUUGACGCUUUUGAGAAAAUGAAACAUAUAUUUUCUAUUAUGCCGAUGAAAAGUUUGUAGAAGUCACGGGAGUGUUUUUCACUGAAAAAACACUCACCAGACGUAGCAUCAGACGCUACACCGGACGCGCUCUGUGCGUCUGGUGAGUGGCACUUGCUGGCGAGUACACAUCUGUCACACGCACAGUAACUUGAGUGAGUCCAGUGAUGUGCGUCCGGUGGAUCUUUACAGAAGCGCUCACGACAUCGGAUGCAGGAGAGCGUCCGGUGGUCCGUGUCCGGUGACCCCGCGCGUUUUACACCUUCUCUACGUACGGGUCUAGUGUGUACCUGACACGUCCGGUGGAUACUUAACCGCGCCCGGUGGUUUGCAAGUGACCGUUAGAGAUCGAUGCACGUUUUUCAAAAGGGUGACACGUGGCUGACAUCUGUGCACCGGACGCAGGGUUCCAGCGACCGGUGGCUCCUUGCUAUGCGUCCGGUGCCCCCGACUUUUGCCCAGUGAAAGGGUCAACGGCUCUAUUUUUUUAGGGGACUUAUAAAUAGAAGGUGGCCGGCCUUAUGGGGCUCUCUCUUGCACUUUGGAAAACUUGAGGCAUACUUUGAGCUAGAGAACACUUCCUCCACUCAUCUCUUUGCUUGAUUGCCAAUCCUAGUGAGAUUGAGUGAGAUUUAAGUGCAUCGCUUAGUGAGUUGCAUCUAGUGGCAUUUGAUUCUUAAGUUUACUGUGAAUUUCUUAUUACUCUUGGGUGUUUCCCGACGCCCUAGAUGGCUUGGAGCAGUGGAGGUGUUGAGCUUGUAAUUAGAGAUUGUUUCGAGCCUCACCAAGUGAUUUGUGAGGGGUUCUUGAGCCUUCCCCGCGGGAGAUCGCAAUUGGCUACUCUAGUGGAUUGCUCGUGGCUUGGAGGAUUCCCAUCUUGGAGUGGAUGUGCGGUAUUCGCUGAGGGUUUGGCUUUGAAUUGCCAAUUAGCUCGUGAUCCAUCAAAUGGGUGUAUCGCCACAAUGAGGACUAGCUUGUCGGGAAGCAAGUGAACCUCGGUAAAAAAUAUUGUGUCAUAUCUUGCCAAAUAUUGUACUCUAUAAUGUUGGUAUAACAAUCACUCUCCAUUCCUGAUUUACUUGCAUACCUUGCUAGUUGUUUAGCUUACCCUUCUUGUUUAGAAGCGUAGAUAGCCUUUAGUUGUGCUUUCUUACUAGACUUGUUUAGUGGCUUGCAUAGCUUAGUUGUACUAGUGCUAAAAUAGCUUCGCCACUUAUUUUACUUACACAAUUGUUUAGUGAAGUUUGUAGAAUUUUAAAUAGGCUAUUCACCCCCCUCUAGCCAUUUGGGCCUUUCAGGACCUCAACGGAAGCUUAUGUAGAUCGACUAAAAAGACGAUUCCACUCCUUUGAAAAAAACAUACUAAUCCUGAACAAUGGAAACUACCUAAGCAUAAGCAAGCCUUAGUCAAAAGCCCUAGUCUGAAUCUUCCUUGUGUCUCAGAACUCUUCAAGGAGAGGUUUCAGCUCUGCGGGGACUUCGAGGUCUCCGUUUUGGAUGGGCUGACCGACCCUCUAGCAGCGAAAUUGCUGUUUUUGUUGUGGGUGUGUUGCUGCUCGCGCCACCAUUGUUGCGCCCA